ACCUGCUCUCUCUCAUUCCAACUCCUCCCAAAUUGAGACACAGACAAAGGAACCCAAUGAGAAACUGAUGCCAAAGUCCAGGUUAAAGACUAAGGACUAUGGGUGAUCGUCGCUCCGAUGCUUGGUCUCAGGCUGUUGUGUUUGGCAGAUAUCAGUGAUUCUUCAGAAUGUUGGAAGGUGCCCGUAACUGGCGGUAGUGUAUUAUUUGUCACUUCAAAGCACCUGUGGACAGUCCCUUGCUUUUCCAGACAAGAGGAAGCUUAGGAAUGCUUUGCUUCAUUCUAGGUCAGGCUGCCUGCAGAUAUAUAGACCCUUUCCUCUGCUGCUUUAUUGCCAGUUGCAUUAAAUAUGGUGUAUGACAA